GGAAUGAGCUAAAGAACUGCAGAACAUUCGGGGUGGUAUCUUCCACGUUACAACUGCAUGUGUUCACCUUGGAGAACGUCGUAAUAUUGGUGGAUUUCAGUAAGAUAUGCUAUAGCAAGCAGAUGGUAGUCAAUGUCAGAAAUUUAUAGGAACAAACAAAUUAGAAUAGAUCUCUUCACUUUGUUUAUUCGUAUACGUAAUAGUAUGGUUUCCGGUGCAAUUUAGGAAAAAACAUACACGAGUGAAUUUUUCAAAGACGAUCAAAUUUGCACGAGUCCGAAGGUCGAAUGCAAUUUGAAAUAUUUGAAAAAUUCACAAGUGUAUGUUUCCCGAAUUGCACGAGAAACCAUACUAUUACUUACUAAUAAUAUAUAUGAAAAAAUUGUACAGAAGCAAAUUCAUGAUCCCUUGCAUGCAUGAAACACAGUGAGUAGUUUACUCACUCAUUUGAAUUGUACAACAACUUAAUACACAUUUUCAACUGUCAAAAGUCAAAACUUUAUUCAAAAUGUCUUUUGUUUAGGCUUGUGACGUAUUUCGUUUCUUGGACUGGAUUUCGAUAAAAUUGCACUGUUCAUUUUUUCAUGUGUAUUAUUAAGCAACAAAUAUUGAAAAUAAUUAACGUUAUAUUUCUUCUGAGAACAACUGGUUGACCGCCGCCUGCUUGACGCUACUGCGUAGUGAACCCCACCUGUAGUUAACAUUUUUAAGUUAAAAUUUCGCUAAGCAAAGUUGUGCACCAUGUUUUACUAAUUAUCAUGCUUCAAAGCAAAACAAUGCUCAUUGAUCAGUUCUGGAAAUACAGAGGAAGGCUCUAUUUACCCCACCAUUACUACUACGUGUUGUUACAGCAUUAUCGU